AAAUACAAUAAUGAGACUUCGAUCUCUAUUACUAACUUUCGUUCCGGUUUGAUUAGUAAUAGAUAUUUUUGCAAGCUCCUACGCAGCAAUGUACUGUGUCAAGGGAGUCUU
rnacentral:sRNA from 1 species